rnacentral:rRNA from 1 species
GAUGAACGCUGGCGGCGUGCCUAAUACAUGCAAGUCGAGCGAACGGACGAGAAGCUUGCUUCUCUGAUGUUAGCGGCGGACGGGUGAGUAACACGUGGAUAACCUACCUAUAAGACUGGGAUAACUUCGGGAAACCGGAGCUAAUACCGGAUCAUAUAUUGAACCGCAUGGUUCAAAAGUGAAAGACGGUCUUGCUGUCACUUAUAGAUGGAUCCGCGCUGCAUUAGCUAGUUGGUAAGGUAACGGCUUACCAAGGCAACGAUGCAUAGCCGACCUGAGAGGGUGAUCGGCCACACUGGAACUGAGACACGGUCCAGACUCCUACGGGAGGCAGCAGUAGGGAAUCUUCCGCAAUGGGCGAAAGCCUGACGGAGCAACGCCGCGUGAGUGAUGAAGGUCUUCGGAUCGUAAAACUCUGUUAUUAGGGAAGAACAGAUGUGUAAGUAACUGUGCACAUCUUGACGGUACCUAAUCAGAAAGCCACGGCUAACUACGUG